AGAGUUUGAUCCUGGCUCAGGAUGAACGCUAGCGACAGGCCUAACACAUGCAAGUCGAGGGGUAACAUGAGUGCUUGCACUUGAUGACGACCGGCGCACGGGUGCGUAACGCGUAUGCAACUUACCUUGUACUGGGGAAUAGCCCGUGGAAACGCGGAUUAAUGUCCCAUAACACUACAAUUUCGCAUGGAAAAGUGGUUAAAGUUCCGACGGUACAAGAUGGGCAUGCGUGACAUUAGCUAGUUGGUGAGGUAAGGGCUCACCAAGGCGACGAUGUCUAGGGGUUCUGAGAGGAAGGUCCCCCACACUGGUACUGAGACACGGACCAGACUCCUACGGGAGGCAGCAGUGAGGAAUAUUGGUCAAUGGGCGCAAGCCUGAACCAGCCAUGUCGCGUGCAGGAAGACUGCCCUACGGGUUGUAAACUGCUUUUGUAUGGGAAGAAACGUUGGUACGUGUACCAAUUUGCCGGUACCAUACGAAUAAGGAUCGGCUAACUCCGUGCCAGCAGCCGCGGUAAUACGGAGGAUCCAAGCGUUAUCCGGAUUUAUUGGGUUUAAAGGGUGCGUAGGCGGUAGAAUAAGUCAGUGGUGAAAUCCUGCAGCUUAACUGUAGAACUGCCAUUGAUACUGUUUUACUUGAGUGUAAUUGAGGUAGGCGGAAUGUGUUGUGUAGCGGUGAAAUGCAUAGAUAUAACACAGAACACCGAUUGCGAAGGCAGCUUACUAAGUUAUAACUGACGCUGAUGCACGAAAGCGUGGGUAGCGAACAGGAUUAGAUACCCUGGUAGUCCACGCCGUAAACGAUGAUUACUCGCUGUAGGCAAUACACCGUCUGUGGCUGAGCGAAAGCAUUAAGUAAUCCACCUGGGGAGUACGUUGGCAACAAUGAAACUCAAAGGAAUUGACGGGGGCCCGCACAAGCGGAGGAACAUGUGGUUUAAUUCGAUGAUACGCGAGGAACCUUACCUGGACUUAAAUGUAGAUUGACGUAUCCAGAGAUGGAUAUUUCUUCGGACAAUUUACAAGGUGCUGCAUGGUUGUCGUCAGCUCGUGCCGUGAGGUGUCGGGUUAAGUCCCAUAACGAGCGCAACCCCUGUUGUUAGUUACCAGCACAUCAUGGUGGGGACUCUAACAAGACUGCCGGUGUAAACCGCGAGGAAGGUGGGGAUGACGGCAAAUCAGCACGGCCCUUACGUCCAGGGCUACACACGUGUUACAAUGGCCGGUACAGAGGGCAGCUACUUGGUGACAAGAUGCGAAUCUCAAAAACCGGUCUCAGUUCGGAUCGAAGUCUGCAACCCGACUUCGUGAAGCUGGAUUCGCUAGUAAUCGCAUAUUAGCCAUGAUGCGGUGAAUACGUUCCCGGGCCUUGUACACACCGCCCGUCAAACCAUGGAAGUCGAGGGUACCUGAAGUCUGUUACCGUAAGGAGUGGCCUAGGGUAAAACUGAUAACUAGGGUUAAGUCGUAACAAGGUA
rnacentral:rRNA from 1 species